AUUAUCCUGGCUGGAACUUCCAGUACUAAGUUGAAUAGCACUGGUAAAGUGGACAUCCUUAUCUUGUUCCUGAUUCCAGGAGUUUGUGAAGGACUGAUAUGAUUUGAUAGAAUUCACCUGCAAAGUCAUCUGGUUCUGGAUGGACAUUUUAAUAGUGAAAGUCCAGAAAACGACUGUGGCGUGGGCUGAUUCUGAGCUGGCAUUUAGCUGCUUGAUAAGACGAAAGGAAGGAGGCGCGUAAAUGAGUGCUUGAUUACUCUCUGCCGCCUG